rnacentral:rRNA from 1 species
AUUGAACGCUGGCGGCAUGCUUUACACAUGCAAGUCGAACGGUAACAGGCCUUCGGGUGCUGACGAGUGGCGAACGGGUGAGUAAUGCAUCGGAACGUGCCCAGAGGUGGGGGAUAACGCGGCGAAAGCUGUGCUAAUACCGCAUGUGAUCUGAGGAUGAAAGCGGGGGACCGGGCAGCAAUGUUUGGCCUCGCGCCUUUGGAGCGGCCGAUGUCAGAUUAGGUAGUUGGUGGGGUAAAGGCCUACCAAGCCGACGAUCUGUAGCUGGUCUGAGAGGACGACCAGCCACACUGGGACUGAGACACGGCCCAGACUCCUACGGGAGGCAGCAGUGGGGAAUUUUGGACAAUGGGCGCAAGCCUGAUCCAGCAAUGCCGCGUGCGGGAAGAAGGCCUUCGGGUUGUAAACCGCUUUUGUACGGAACGAAAAGGCUCUGGCUAAUACCUGGGGCUGAUGACGGUACCGUAAGAAUAAGCACCGGCUAACUACGUG